GACCGGCGAACGGGUGAGUAACACGUAUGCAACUUACCCAUAACUCGGGAAUAGCCCAAAGAAAUUUGGAUUAAUACCCAAUAAUACAGGCGUACCGCAUGGUAUUCUUCGUUAAAGAAUAAUCGGUUAUGGAUAGGCAUGCGUUCUAUUAGGUAGUUGGUGAGGUAACGGCUCACCAAGCCGACGAUGGAUAGGGGAACUGAGAGGUUGUCCCCCCACACUGGUACUGAGACACGGACCAG
rnacentral:rRNA from 1 species